rnacentral:rRNA from 1 species
ACUCCUACGGGAGGCAGCAGUGGGGAAUAUUGGACAAUGGGCGCAAGCCUGAUCCAGCAAUGCCGCGUGGGUGAAGACGGCCUGCGGGUUGUAAAGCCCUUUAGGCGGGGAAGAACGGCCGGGCGCGAAUAGCGCGCGGCUCUGACGUUACCCGCAGAAUAAGCACCGGCUAACUCCGUGCCAGCAGCCGCGGUAAU